AUUUCAUAUAUAUAAACGCUUAAUGCAUUUGUUAACAAUUUGUGUGAUGCUGAUUUGAUUAAGACAUAUAUUCCAACGAUUUCAAUGUUAAUGAUAGUCUUCCAUGAUAAAGAUUUGCUUUCAACAACUGUUUGAAAUUCAAAGUUAUUAGUGUAUAUAAUAUGCAUGACGAAUCAUGGUAAGUUUUUUUUUAAUUUAUUUCUUUGUAUACUUUUAUUUCAUUGUGUAUUGUACAGGCUGAUAAUUUAUAAUGUCCCAAUUCAUCAGUUGUUUGGCAUUUCAGUGCAAAUUUUACUGCGGUCAUUUGUACUCGAUAUAACAGGGGAGAAAAAAAGUCAAGUUCAAACAGGGCACCAGUAAUAUAAAGUAUUAGUAUCAUACGGAGAUCGGGUUACUGUCAUGACUUACGCAUGCGCGUUACUUGUUUUCGUUAAAAUAAAUAAGUUGGUUAUAGUAGCCGGGGUUCGUUUUCUCUCAAUCGAUUUAUGACUUUGAACAGCGGUAUACUUUUGCCUUUAUUUAGGAUUUUCAUGAGUAGCAAUGUAACAACAGAGCAAAAACCAAAAGACAUCUCGAGGUCACCAAACAGUCUUUUACGCGUAUGUGUCCUAAGCUCUACAUCGCCCCGAGUCUCCAAGAAUUUCUUUUAUAUUUACCAGAGACUAUUAAAGAUCGUCUAUCAAUACCAAAUUCCCUAGAAGACAAAUAAGUAAGAUCAAAUGUAAACAGCCGCUGACAGGAUACGUGACUAAGGCCAGGUACAUGAAUAUAUGGCACGUUAAACUUGUUUUUACGACAUCGAUACCUCCCUAUUAAUCUCUAUCAGUGCCAUGAAAAAUAAAAAAAGUUACAUAUAAGAAUGCACCACAAGAAUCCGUACAGGGAAAGCACCUGACUAUGAUGCAUAAAAAAGACAACUACAAUCAAACAGUUAUAAAAAAAAAUGGCAGUCACAAGCGGGUGUCUUAACCUAAUAAUAAGACAUCAGAACAUCAUACGCUGUUCUACUAGUAAUUGUAAUUCGGUAAUACAGUAAUGUAAUAAAGUAGACACAUGAUCCAUUUGAAACAAAUUGAAUGUCUAGAACGUUUGCAGAAAGUUUUUGUUCUUUUGAUUUUGAAAUAAUAAAUAAACAAAGUAAUGUUAAUAAAUGAACUAAUUCUUUUCAAAACUUGACCCUUUGAAACGAUUCAUUAAAUAACUUUCUCAUUACUAGCUUUUAAUUAUUUCAUUAAGCUCAGUUUCAGCUAUAAAGUAUGUUAUUUUAGUCAAACAUUGGAUACCCUCAAACAACUGACAGAACAGUAUCGUUGUUCCUUUAUACACAUUAUACAGUUAUGGCCCUUUGAAAAGGUGAAUAUUCAAAAUUGUCAACACGCGAAGGUUAUAGAGAUAUCAUCCAUCAGCUGCUGGCACUAGAUUUAUGUUCAAAGCAUAUAUUUCCUCGUCUCUAGAUGGACUACCAGUGUAACGUGAACUCAGCCAUUUUUGUUUAAAUACGUAUAUGACGUCUUUUUUAUGACGGGUAACUCGUGUACAAAUCUAGAAACUCAAUAGGUUAUUCGCCGGUGAAUAAUAAUAUUAAUAGUGCACCGCUGGUGGGGGUUAUUCUUCCUUCCUAGCAAUUAAAUGAAAAUUAACUGAAUUAUUCCAUGACACGUGAUUACGUGUUAUCCAAUAUAAUGGUUUGUAAUAUAUGUAAGGUAUAAUAAUAUACAUUAUCCUCCACUAAAACCAGUUCAAUAUUGCUGAAUGAGUGUCUUUCACAAGAGAGGAAUCUCAGAAAUUCUUAGAGUUUUUUCCUAAUGUUUUUCGCCUUUUACAUUUUAAUGUUGAUGAGUCGUUGAUGGCAGAUGAUAAUUUAUCUUUUGAUUUCUUUUAAAACUUGACUGAAAUUUGAUUUUUUUCAGAGAUUGUUGGGUACAGAAGCUUCUAUUUUUUUUUUUAUAAAUAUUGAAGACUGUAUGCUGACCUCUUUUAAAUGUCUUCUUUUGUUUGAUUGAAUCUUAUCGGCGUUCGCCGCACAUCUCCUUUUAUUCGUAUGUACUACACAACAUCUGACUGAACCUUUGAUUACCUACCAUAUGCUUUCAAUGUAAAUAAAACUGCAGGUUCUAUAGAUAUAUAUUUCACACAUUUUAAUUAAGUCAAGUUUUGUUUAUAUUUUUACCAUGUGUGUUUGGGUUUAAUAGUCUUAUUAAUUGUCUGCUGGUUAUUAUUUUUUAACUGAAUCCAGGAGUAAACUUGUCCGCUCAUUUAGAUGUUUGAAGCUGGUAUGUAUAUGUCUGAAUCCAAAAGAUUGAUUAGGAUAUAGACUUAUCGGACCACAUAUGAAUUAUCACGUUGUGAUUGGUUAAACGCCGUCACGGGGUGACCCCCUAUGAGACCGUAUGGGGUUCAUGACGCGUUAAUGGCGACGUCAUCCAUUAAUGUUGUUGUUUAUUUUUCAACAAAACGCCGCAGAAAAAGUCCAGCGUCCGAUAAAUUCGUUACACGGUUAACUACUGACCCCCUACGGAUCCAUAGAGGGUGAAUACAAUGCAUAGGAGACUCGGCCUCCGGCCUCAACCCCCUAUGGAUUUUACUAACCCUCUAUGGAUCCGUAUGGGGUCAGUAGCGAACCAUAGAACUUAUAAUAGGCACACGGAUUUCCGGUAUUAAAACCUAUGCCAUGGGGCUUCAUUUUGACUGAGGGAAUGCUUAGUCAAAUGAUGUUCAAAUCUCAUAAUUCUCAUAAUGCCAUGCUGGACUUUUUAAUUAACAACAUAUUUGUUGAAUUAGGUUUGGUCUUUCAACCGACUAUUGGAAUCCCAAUGGAUACCAAUUGCGCUCCUCUAUUUGCAGAUUUGUUUUUGUAUUUCUAUGAAGCAGAAAUUAUUCAAGGGUUUGUAUACAGAAAGGAGAAAAGAAAUUAGCCCAGUUUUUUAAUUUCACCUUUCGGUAUAUUGAUGAUGUACUGUCUCUUAAUAAUACUAAUAGAUUCAGUGAUUACUUACAUUUAAUGUACCCAAGUGAGCUUGAAAUUAAAGAUACUACCAACACAGAUAAAUCUGCUUCAUAUUUAGACUUUUUUCUCCAAAUGACUACUGAUGGUAGGUUAAAUACCAAAAUUUAUGACAAACGCGAUGAUUUUAAUUUUCCUAUAGUCAACUUUCCAUUUCUGUGUAGCAACAUUCGAACGGCAUCAGCAUAUGGAGUAUAUGUGUCUCAAUUGAUACGUUACUCUAGAGAUAGCUCAAAGUACGUUGAUUUUGUUGAACGAGGAAUACUGCUUUCUCAAAAGUUGCUAUGAAUCAGUCAAAUUAGGGUCAUCACUCAAUAAAUUUUACGGUCGCCAUCAUGCGCUGAUUUGCCAUUAUGACAAAAGUGUGUCAGAAAUCAUAUCUGAUAUUCUUCCUCAGUCGUAGUAACCUUACCCUUCCGGAGCACCUGAUUUCACUCCCGGUUUUUAGUGGAGUUCGUGUUGUUUCUUAUUUAUUAUUUAUAACUGUUGAUGUAAAUGUCUUUUGGUUUUGUGAGUCUUUGUUUACUCCUUGGUUUUGAUUGUUAUUGUCUUCUUAUCAGAACAUACAAAUCAAGGUAAAAACACUCCGUAGGAAAUCAAACGAACUGCAAAAACUGGAUGCGCCUACAGGGUACGUGUCUUCUGCUAUAAAUACCUCACCCGCCGUUGAAAUCAGCACUUGUUCAAAUUAUCACAAACUGUAAAUUCACACAUCAGGCGACUAUUCUAGCAUCUUGUAAGAUCUAAACCGCGAAACAGAUCGCUAGUGAGUUGUGACACGAACACAUCAGUCAAUUAUGUGAAUUAACCAGUCAGUAUGCAUCCUGUCGAUUCUAUGUUGGCAUUGCAAACGGUCAUGCUUUAUCCCCAGACUACUUACGGUGUCCUAACUAUAAAGUUGGAUGAUUGAUUAUAUUUUAGUCUGGGAAACAUGGUAAAUUUAUCAUUAGAAAAAUUGGGCUUUGAACUAGAUUUGGUUAACUGCGAGUGAUCUAGAUUUGGUUGAUUCCGAGUGAACUAGAUUUUGUUAACUCCGAGUAUUAGAGGAUUCUGCACUUUGUCAGGAUUGUCAGUUUUUGUGAUAAAGUCGUGAUCUGAUGAACCUAGCCCUUUUCAAGUGACUUUUAGAGGUUUGUUCUAUUGUUGUACUCUUGCACCACUGUCAUAGUUUGGGAAGGUUGAGCACUCACAAACAUAUUUUGCCCAGUACAAUGGCAUGAAUCUGUUAACUUUAAGUCCUUUGCUGUGGAUAGUUAUCAACAACAUACAGUGGUAUACAAUUGAAUAUUGAAUAAUUGAAUGUAUUGAAUAACACAACUAAACCUGCAUGCUCUGAAGCAAAAUUUCUUUAUAUAUGAUCCAGGUGUUUUACUCUUGUUAAAAUUCGUAUGCUAAAAUAAAGAUAUCUUUUGCUAGACGAAAACCAUCUGAUUCAAUGAAAGUCCUAAGACGUUUUUUGGAUAUAUUGUAGAUCAUGACUUGAACCAAUCAUUUGAAAUUGAACUCAAAGCCAUUUACUGCAACUACAUGAGAGAUUUUUUUUAAUUCGUCAAAUAUGCAAUGGUCCGACAUAUGAAUAAGGUAAACAUCAGUGACAGUGUUGUGUUGACUUCUUAACACAUUACUUCUUCGGUUUACAUUUGUUGUAAAAUGAAAAAUGUCUGUGUCUGUAACGUCGAGCAAGUGAAAUUUUUUUGAUUGAUAAGAAUAAACCUAUUACUGAAAAUAAACAUUUUUUGUCAGGAAUAAAUUUUAUUAUUCUCAGUGAGACUUAUAUAUAAUACUCUUAAUACAAGUUAUAAAAUAUAAGAGACGAGUAAAUAUAGAUUUCAACAUUAUAGGAUUGUACAAUCAAUAAUGUGAAGGGUAAAAUGACGUCUGAAGCCCUUAUUGUCAUCUUAGUAUCCCAUGGUGUCAAUUAUACUUUUAUUUACCAGAAUUUAAUUGACGUUCAAUCAUAAACUACCUCGAUAUCAAGAUAUAUACAACUUAUUCUGAUGGCUUACAAGCUUUUUGAACUACGCUAAACUCUAAGGUUACAGACAAAUUUAUUUGAUAUACAAUUCCUUUAGAGUAAAGAAAGGAUUGCGUAUACUUAAUCAAAACUGUAUACUAAAUAUGAUAUUGCUUCUCAUUACCAUUAACAUCACAAUGUAGUAAAACCAAUUCUAAAUGGACCUGUCUGUUUGGCUUUGCAAGAUGUAAACAUACGCAGCCACGUAUGGCUGGAGUGGGGAUUUAAAUCUGAGAAUAUUUGCAAAUCCUAAGGUAAACAAUAAUUGCAAGGAAAAAAUCAUCUUCUGUCCUAAUUCACUAAUGUAUUGCUAAUUUGUACACGUCAUGAGUAUGAUGAUAUAUUUGCUAAACGGACUGACGACUAAAAACUUUACGUUUCCAUAUGUUCUCCUGUUUUGUUGUGUUGGGUGUUUCCGUGGCAUUGUGGUGAUAGAGUGUCAUGCUCUCUGUAUAGGUUAAAAAAUUACAAUAAUUGUUGGAUGUUCUACGUGACGUAUUGAAUGCAAAAUUUCUAUCUUCUAAGAGCAACAGUGCAAAUCCAUUUAUUCAUCCGUACCGACUCCCUUUUAUAACCUUCCUUACUGAUUUUUAUAAACAAUGGUUCUUCCUAAUGCAUAUGCAUGGCUUGUCGAGAACUUAUUAUCGUUUGAUGACAUGCUUUGUUGCAAGUUUAUAAUCAAAAAUUGGAAACGAAUUCUAAGUAACUUUUGAAUGCUAGAUUUGAUUAAAAGUUGUGUUGAGCUUCGCGUUGUGAUUCCCAUUAAAAUUGAAAUCAGUCUAUAAGUCAGUAUCUAUGAUAAUGACGGUUGUCUUAGUUUCACAUUCUAAAGAAGUAACAUAUUUUUCCCGCACUUUCUACAUAUAAAAGUAACGCCUGAACCAAGUCAGAAUGACAUUUAUUUUAACCGAUGUGGCUGCGUACUUAUACAUCCCACCCAGCCGUACAGACGCUUCGGCGAGGAUUUUACUGCCGGUCGGAAGAUAACCAAAGUGACCAUUUCUGUUCCCUAAUAGCCAUUGCUAUGACUAUGGAAUAAAUGAAGAGUGAAAUAUGCGCUGCAGAUGACAUCUAUCAUAUCGUUGCACCUUGUGUCACUACAGUUGGGUAUUUAUUUAAGUUGGUGUCUAUGCAAAAAUGGAAUAUUAACUUUUUCAAUAUAUGAGAAGUGAAAGAUGCAUUUAAAAGGAUCUUAAAAAAUAAAUUCGGCAUAAAAGUGACAACGACAUGGCAAAUAAUGAGUCUUGUGUUGACGUGCAUCUGGAAUACACAAUUAGAUAUAUUUGGAACCUACAGAAUAAAAAACAGUUGAAAAAAGUUUAUAGUAAAUAAUAUAGUUUGACCAUUUUCAAAAACGGAUCAAGCUUAUUUUAAAAUUCUUGGGAAUCAUACGGAGAAAGCCAGGAUUCGUCGUCAGGGAAAGUGAAAACAACAUAUUUUGUUUCGAGCAAAUUUGUUGAUGAGACUAGCUGUCAGGAACUGCAAGUACUCUCGUGUCUGUACAUAGUGUCGUUUCGUUGUUGAGAUGUACAAGUACCCGGCCACGUCCACUCUGUGUUGAUGUAACAUGUAUUCAUCUUAUGAGUUGUGCCUUUUUCAACAGAUUUUUUAUAGUUUGCUCUUAUGUUGUAUUGUUUCACCACUGUCCCAGGUAAGUGGAGGGUUAUGAUGCCGCUAACAUGUAUUUUCUCGCCACAUUCUAUUUGUAUGUUCCUGUCCCAAGGUCAGGAGUCUGUAAUUCGUGAUUUGUCUGAUACUGUGUUACAUAUUUGUUUUCAUUAAAGUUUUUUGUAUAUUAAUUAGGCCGUUAGUUUUCUCGUAUGAAUUGUUUUACAAUUGUCAUUUGGGGCAUUUUAAGGCUGAGUUUACGAUACGGGCUUUGCUCAUUGUUGAAAGCCAUGCAGUGACCUAAAUAGUUGGUAAUUUUUUGUCAUUUUGUCUCUAGUAAAGAGUUGUCUCGUUGGCGAUCAUACCAAAUUUUCUUUAUUUAUAUCCAACAAAAUAAUUCUGCAGUUACUAUAGUCGAAGAAAAAAGGUAUCGAAAGAAAGAUAGUAUAUAUUCCAAUGUCACUAAUAUAACUCAACUUUGCAAAAUUACGUAUAUUUCAAUUUUAUUAGAUGAUAAAAUGUAUUUUCAAAGUAUAAAGAUUCACUUGUAAAUAGUGAUUGAAUCAUUCAUAUUUAUGUUUGCAACAGUUCCUUGACCUACAAAGACAUAUUACAUCCCAGUGG
rnacentral:lncRNA from 1 species